UACAGAGGUGGCAAGCGUUGUUCGGAAUUACUGGGCGUAAAGGGCGCGUAGGCGGCCCUCUAAGUCCCGUGUGAAAGCCCCCGGCUCAACCGGGGAACUGCACGGGAAACUGGAAGGCUUGAGUUCGGGAGAGGGAAGCGGAAUUCCGGGUGUAGCGGUGAAAUGCGUAGAUAUCCGGAGGAACACCGGUGGCGAAGGCGGCUUCCUGGACCGACACUGACGCUGAGGCGCGAAAGCUAGGGGAGCAAACGGG
rnacentral:rRNA from 1 species